UAUUAUUUGGUAAUAUCAGUAUUUUCUGUUUGAAAAAUAAAUUUAUGAUGCCAUAUAUUCGUUAAUUAAUUUAUUAGAAAUAAAUAUAUAACGAAUUAUGUUGAAAUAACAUUGUUAACAAAAUGUGCUAAAUUAUUAAUUUAUAACAAUUUGAUAUAUAUUGUUAAUAUAUGUAAUACUUUAAAUCGAAUGCUAUUAUAAGAGCUAAAGUAUAUUUACAUUACUUAAUUUGAAUGUGGUUUUCUUCCGUCAUGUGUAUUUAUUUUCUAAUACCGUUUUUGUGAAUUUAUAUUCUUUUAUAGAGCUACAUUACGUGGAAUUAAAUAUAGUAAAAUAUUCCAAAAUGUUGAACUUGUAAUGGAUCUCGUGAUUUGUGUUGCAAAAACAAACAACUGUUAUUUAAAGAACCUGGUGAAAAAAAGAAAAUUGUGAACCUAAGCAUAUAUGAACUUAUUACAGGGACAAUUGUUCAAGUUUUUUCUGUAGAAAAAUUGGAGAUUGGGAUGCAGACUAUCGUGGAAUUGUUCAACUGCCAUUAAUAAAUGCCACAAAUUCUGAUGAAAUGCCAACGCUUAUUUCACUGCAUUGUUUUUUGUUGUGAAGGCCAUGAAAGGAGUUUGUACAUUAAUGCUCUUAAAAGUCAU